GGAAAUAUUGGACGACAAGGGCCUCCUGGUGCUUUAGGCCCACCUGGUGAAGGUAUACAAGGACCAAAGGGUGAACAGGGAAUUCAAGGAAUGCCAGGACCACGUGGGCCUCCUGGAGAAGGACUUCUUGGACCAAAGGGUGACCGUGGAACUGCAGGGGAAAGAGGAAGAAAAGGCGAAAAGGGCAAUAUGGGAGACCCUGGAACAGCUGGAGAA